AUGCAGGAGGGCAUUAGUGGUAGAGCACCAGGGGGGAGGCCGCAAUGCCAAAUGAAAGGGCAAGAGUGGAGUGUGUACUUCAACACACUUGCCAUGUGCUCUGUCAGCCCUGCUGCUGCCUAUAAUGGCAUGAGAAGGGCCACUUAACUCGUAAUCACUUCUCUCUUUCCCCCCCUCGGCCGCGUCCUCCUCUCCGUCGUCCUCAACCCCGGAUUUCAGACCGUCGGCUCUGAUCUCUAAUCAUAAAUGAAGCGGAGUUCAAGAGCAGGGACAGUGGUCCACACCCCUCUACCCCCUCGGCUGGGAUCCUGUAAUCACGGGCUCCGAGAGGCCAGCAGGCUUUUGAAUGAGAGAUGACUGCAGCACCUCUAAUGCAUCAGCCACUUCCACUUUGAAGAGCCAUUUUCUGGAGGAGAGAGUAUCAGAGGCAGACAGGCUAAAAAGCAAGAUGAGCAACAGCGGGUCAAUCUCACUUUCCGCUGCUCUGUUGUGUGCUUGCCACAGGAGGUUGAAAUGUUCAUCAAAACUCAAAAGAUGGAAAAGCUACCAGAGACUGAAAGUACAAGAUCAUGGACAUCAGCAGAACAGUGUCUGGACCCUUUGAGUUUUUUUCAAUCAAAUAUUCAACUUUGACAUUACUUGUUUAAGAGGCUGUAGCUUGAAAACAGAUAAGGAUGAAGGGAUAAUGUAAAAGAGAAGAAUCUUUGAUAUGACCAAACAUUUGGGAUGGAAGUAGAUUCACUCAUAUAAUUUGUAUUUUAUGACAUCAACCGGCGCUGGCCAAAGUCAAUCACAUAACUCUUACACGUGACAUUCUUCCUAAUCUCUCAAUCAUCGAUGAUGAUGAUGUCUGGGCAUCAUCAUCAUCACCGGAAUAUGAACUUCGUCUGCUGUUACUCGCAUGUUUUCUUUUCACAAUUCACACUACCACCAUCAUUGUGUUUCGACCAUGAAUCCGCUCCGGAAUGUGACUCUUGUGGAGGCGUCAUAGGGACUGGACGCACUAGCACUACAUGCAGAAGCCGCGCUGCCGACUGCUGUAGUCACUUUCUGUCCCACUGCAUGAGCUCCAUCAGAGCAUGAAUAUUAAUCUGAAUCUGGCACUGUCAUAUCCACUCUCUUGCCCUCUGUUUUGCACCUACUGCGGCACAAUGUAAAGAAUAUAACUCAAGAUUGUCUUGGGAGCACCUCAACACUGAGGAGGUUUUUUUGGAUAAAGGAAAGUCGGAGGCUCCGAGUGUAGGUUGCUGUCUCCUUGACCAAAACUCAGGCAGCCGCCUUGGCAAUGACCGCUUCCUGAUAAGAUGACAUUCUCCAGAAAAAAAAAGGUGAUAUUUAAAAAUGUUAGCACAUACUGUAUUCAGCAGCUACAAACAUCUCGUCACACAAUCUCUUGUUCUCACUCACCCUCUCACACAGCCACAAUUGAACACCAAAAUAAAACUGAGAGAACACAACUUUUCCCUUCCUCUCCCCCAUUGGUUACCAUCAAUACUAAAAACGUAUCAGCUGCAAGGCCGGGACUGACAACAAUAAUCUGAUAUUGCAUCUUAAAACCUCUUCUUGCCCUCAGAGUUCGUGAAUGGUUGUGGCUGCUAUUGAGUUGACUGAGACACAUUGAGAAAUGUUACUUUCAGCGGAUUGAAAAGUUAAAACGGCUUGCCCUGAUUUAUGAUCUUAAAAGGGAAAAUGUAACAUCUUUUAAAGUGGGAUCACAGGGGGCGCUCAGGAUCUGAACACAGACCCGUGAUGCAAAACCUAAAUGGAUCACAUGAAGCAGCCCAAGACCACUUCUAUGAUUUUCAACACAUCUGUACCUCUGUACAAAAGCAAGACUUCCACCAGAGGUUGUGUUGGUAUGUUGUGCAGGAUCCCAGGUCAGCGUCUGUGGCACAGCGCUGCCAGUCAAGUGCUGAAACUUGUGCAGAGCUCUGCUAAUGGACUGCUAAUAGGAGUGAAUGUUGCCCCACGAAGCUCCCCUGCAGUUGGAAGCGUCACACCGGGUGAUUAAUGACACUCUCCCUCUCUUCCCCUGUCUGUCCCUGUCCUCGCUUCAUAUCGCGCCCUCCUGGCUCGCUUCACUUGUACUCCAGGUUCUCUCCACUAAUCUUUCUGUCCCCUUCCCCUCUGGUGCGUCUUUGCAACCACCCUCUUUUCUCACCCGCACCUUUGCAAACUUCUAUUCUAACUGUCUGUGGAAUUCAGAGGAUGGUAUUUGCAGCAAUUUUUGUGUCACACCUCAGAGUUGUUCACACACUGAAGAAAGCGUUACACCUGAAUCGAGACUCUACUGUAACUCUAAUUCUUUGACACACCUGUAACUGAGGCAGACUACAGAUACCUGCCUUCUAUUUACAUUUUGAUCAUGAUUUCCCAGUUAAAUAUUCUUUUUAAUUUUUCAUUGUUCUGUAUAUUCUUCUUCUUCUCAAUAUGUAAUUAUUGCUCUUCAAACUGGAUUAAAGCUGUUUCAAUAGCACUUCCGAUAUAAUAUUUAUUUCAUGUCUCUAUUUCAAUUCAAUCCUAUU